UCCAGACUCCUACGGGAGGCAGCAGUGGGGGAUAUUGCACAAUGGGGGGAACCCUGAUGCAGCGACGCCGCGUGGGUGAAGGAGCGUUUCGGCGCGUAAAGCCCUCUCGGCAGGGAAGAAGGAGGACGGUACCUGACUAAGAAGCCCCGGCUAACUACGUGCCAGCAGCCGCGGUAAUACGUAGGGGGCAAGCGUUAUCCGGAUUUACUGGGUGUAAAGGGGGCGCAGACGGCAGCGCAAGCCAGGAGUGAAAGCCCGGGGCCCAACCCCGGGACUGCUCUUGGAACUGCGCGGCUGGAGUGCAGGAGGGGCAGGCGGAAUUCCUGGUGUAGCGGUGAAAUGCGUAGAUAUCAGGAGGAACACCGGUGGCGAAGGCGGCCUGCUGGACUGCGACUGACGUUGAGGCCCGAAAGCGUGGGGAGCAAACAGGAUUAGAUACCCCGGUA
rnacentral:rRNA from 1 species